CCUACGGGAGGCAGCAGUGGGGAAUAUUGCACAAUGGGCGCAAGCCUGAUGCAGCCAUGCCGCGUGUGUGAAGAAGGCCUUCGGGUUGUAAAGCACUUUCAGCGGGGAGGAAGGCGGUGAGGUUAAUAACCUCAUCGAUUGACGUUACCCGCAGAAGAAGCACCGGCUAACUCCGUGCCAGCAGCCGCGGUAAUACGGAGGGUGCAAGCGUUAAUCGGAAUUACUGGGCGUAAAGCGCACGCAGGCGGUCUGUCAAGUCGGAUGUGAAAUCCCCGGGCUCAACCUGGGAACUGCAUUCGAAACUGGCAGGCUAAAGUCUUGUAGAGGGGGGUAGAAUUCCAGGUGUAGCGGUGAAAUGCGUAGAGAUCUGGAGGAAUACCGGUGGCGAAGGCGGCCCCCUGGACAAAGACUGACGCUCAGGUGCGAAAGCGUGGGGAGCAAACAGGAUUAGAUACCCUAGUAGUC
rnacentral:rRNA from 1 species